CAAACUUUUAAACAGAUUUUCAUAUAAAAUUAAGGCAAAAACACAGCAAACAUAUUUUAUACCUAGUAAAUCCAAAUAAGUUGACUAACAUUUUAGAAAAAAUAAAACUUCAAUAAAAUAAGCUGCAUUUUUUACUUAGCAUUCUAACUUAGCAGUCUACCUAAGUUAGAAAAUAUAAUGGGGCCGGACGUGGUGGCUCAUGCCUGUAAUCCCAGGACUUUGGGAGGCCAAGGCAGGUGAUCACAAGGUAAGGAAUCCAAGACCAGCCUGGCCAGCAUGGUGAAACCCUGUCUCUACUAAAAAAAAAAAACAAAAAUUAGCUGGGCGUGGUGGUGGGCACCUGUAAUCCCAGCUACUCAGGAGAAUUGCUUGAACCCAGCAGGUGGAGGUUACAGUGAGCUGUGAUCUUGCCAUUGAACUCCAGCCUGAGUGAGACUGUUUUAAAAAAAAAAAAUAAUGGGAAAAGGAUACAGAUUUAUAAUAUGUAAAAAUUACUUAAAAGUAAUAUAAAUAACAACCAUGUAUAAUUUUAGAUAAUGAAAACAGUGAAACUUCAUUUAGAGUUAUAAGAGGGACUUGAAUAAAUGGACAUAUAUUCUACCCAAGACUGUUUUUGGAUAAUAUGAUGUUAAUAAGAAUAUCGGAUCACAUUUUGUCUUGGAAUUUGACAUGAUAAUUUGAAAUUCAUGUGUCAGAAUGAAUAGAUAAAAAUACAAAAGAUUACUUUGAAAAAAUAAAGCUAAUGAUAGAGGGAAUUAAUCCUACCACAGAAUAAAGCAUAAUUUAAAAACAGCAAUAAUUAAAACAGUAUGAUACUAUUUGAUUUGAUCAUUAUGGGACACUUAAAGCUCAUAUACAUAAAAAUGACUAUGAUAGAAGCUAGAAAUUGCUAUAAAAACAUGAGUUUGGGAUUUUCAGAUACAGUAUUAAAGUUGCGCCGUUACUUUUCUGUGAGAUAUGACUGUGCUUCAGAAAGCAGAGGUUUUCUUUUUAGGUUUCUCUUGUAAGUUGGACCUUGUUUUAACACAGGAUAGUCAUCAUAUUUUAGGAUUAGACUUUAAAAAUUUUGUCUUUGAAGUGGUGUUGCUGACAUUGUUGAGGAUUAUAUAAAACAAACUUUGCACCUACUUUUUUGGCCUGGGUUGGGGGUGUUGAGAAAAAGUUUGUGCACAGGUUGUUGAUGUUUUUUAAAUAGUCAUGGUCAUAGCUGAGAUAUAUUAGGUUAGUGUGAUAUAUACUGUUAAGAAAAAGAUUAGUUUUAUCUUACUUGGCCUAAUUAGCGUUGCUCGGUUCAUUGGCCCAAAUGUAUCUAGACAAGACACUGUGAGAGCCAUGUGUUCUGAGUGGAGUGCUGUGAAAUACUGACAUAUUUUAUUUUGUCUUAAAAAUGAGCUAAAAUGAUAAUUAUAGAAAUGUAUUGUAUGGUCAUACUUGUAAUAAAUUCAUAGCAUCAGUACAUGCCCAUAAAUAAAAUAAACCAUUCAACUAAGGAUGUUUUCUCAACUUUUUAUGCUGACGUUAGUUUGCUGGUUGUUUAUUUUUGUUAUCUGGUAUGGAGUACAAGUGGUAGCUCAUAGCUCAAAUUUUAAAAAUUUAUGAGAGAAAAAGUUUUAAGUAGAGACAAUUAUAUAUUAACUUUUUCUUUUGGGGUGGGGGAAUUGAGGAAAGCUGACCACAUGCUUUUUAAUAACAGCAUAAUUGAGAUCUAAAUCACAUACCAUAAAACUCACACUUUUAAAUGAAGAAGGAUAAUAAGAGUAAAAUUUGUGAGCCAGUGCGUGCUCCUCCUCGCCUGCCGCUAGGUCCAGUCCGGCCCAGCCACCAUGUCCAUCCACUUCAGCUCCCCGCUGUUCAGCUUGCGCUCCACCGGCUUCUCCGGCCGCGGUGCCCAGGUGCGCCUGAGCUCCGCGUGCCCCGGUGGCUUCGGCAGCAGCAGCCUCUAUGGCCUGGGUGCCUCGUGGCUGCGUGUGACCAUGCGUUCCGCCUAUGGGGACCCGGUGGGCACCGGCAUCCACGAGGUCACCAUCAACCAGAGCCUGCUGGCUCCGCUGCGGCUGGACACAGACCCCUCCCUCCAGCAGGUGCGCCAGGAGGAGCGUGAGCAGAUCAAGACCCUCAACAACAAGGUGCGUUUUAUGGAGCAGCAGAACAAGCUGCUGGAGACCAAGUGGGUGCUGCUGCAGAAGCAGAAGUCAGCCAAGAGCAGCCGCCUCCCAGACAUCUUUGAGGCCCAGAUUGCUGGCCUUAGGGAGCAGCUUGAGGCGCUGCAGGUGGAUGGGGGCUGCCUGGAGGCUGAGCUGCGGAGCAUGCAGGAUGUGGUGGAGGACUUCAAGAAUAAGUACGAAGAUGAAAUUAACCGCCGCACGGCUGCUGAGAAUGAGUUUGUGGUGCUGAAGAAGGAUGUGGAUGCUGCCUACAUGAGCAAGGUGGAGCUGGAGGCCAAGGUGGUUGCCCUGAAUGAUGAGAUCAACUUCCUCAGGACCCUCCAUGAGACGGAGUUGACAGAGCUGCAGUCACAGAUCUCGGACACAUCUGUGGUGCUGUACAUGGACAACAGUCGCUUUCUGGACCUGGAUGGCAUCAUCACUGAGGUCAAGGCUCAGUAUGAGGAGAUGGCCAAAUGCAGCUGGACUGAGGCUGAAGCCUGGUACCAGACCAAGUUUGAGACCCUCCAGGCCCAGGCUGGGAAACAUGGGGACGACCUCCGGAAUACCUGGAACGAGAUUGCAGAGAUGAACUGGGCCAUCCAGAGGCUGCAGGCUGAACUCGACGCCAUCAAGAACCAGCAUGCCAAGUUGGAGGCCGCCAUUGCUGAGGCUGAGGAGUGCGGGGAGCUGGCACUCAAGGAUGCUCGUGCCAAGCAGGAGGAGCUGGAGGCCGCCCUGCAGCGGGCCAAGCAAGACAUGGCACGGUAGCGACGUGAGUACCGGGAGCUGAUGAGCGUCAAGCUGGCCCAGGACAUCUAGAUUGCUACUUACCGCAAGCUGCUGGAGGGCGAGGAGAGCCGGUUGGCCGGAGAUGGAGUGGGAGCCUUGAAUAUCUCUGUGGUGAAUUCCACUGGAGGCACUGGCAGUGGCAGUGGUGGUGGCAUUGGGCUGAGCUGCGGGGGAACCAUGGGCAGCAAUGCCCUGAUCUUCUCCAGCAGUGCGGGUCCUGGGGCCGCGAAGGCUUAUUCCAUCCGGACCACAUCCACCAGUCACAGGUGCGCCCGCAACUGAGCUGCCUCCCACCCCUCCAUUCCCCCAGCCACUGCCCACACUCCCAUCCCAAGACCGCGAGACAGUCUGGAAAGUGAUGUCUGCAUCCAAUAAAGCAGCCUCGUUCUGAGGCCUGAGUGGGGGAAAAAAAAAAAAAAGAAAAAUUUGUUUAUUUUAGUUACAAUUCACUGUUUCUUUUUGUAUAUUUACAGAAUAUACCAUCAUCAUGAUCUAAUUCUAGAAUAUCUUCAUCUCCCUCAAAAAGAGACCCUUUAUCUAUUAACAGUCACUCCUCAUUUCCCCCAACCCCCAGUAACCACUAAUCUACUUUCUGUAUCUAUGGAUUUGCCUAUUCUGGACAUGUCACAUAAAUGGUAUCGACUUAUAUAUGUUCACAUUCUUUUUUAGUGGCAAGAUGUCUGAAUCCAAGUCUAGAAAUACCAGCAUUCUUUUUUGUUUUUGAGAUGAAGUCUUGCUCUGUUGCCCAGACUGGAGUGCAGUGGUGCACUCUCGGCUUACUGCAACCUCUACUUCCCAGGUUCAAGUGAUUCUCCUGCCUCAGCCUCCCAAGUAGCUGGGCUUACGGGCAUGCACAGGCCAUGCCUGGCCAAUUUUUGUAUUUUUAGGGAGACAAGGUUUCAGUGUGUUGGCCAGGCUGGUCUUGAAUUCCUGACCUCAGAUGAUCCACCCGCCUCAGGCUCCAAAAGUGCUGGGAUUACAGGUGUGAGCCACCAUGCCCAGCCAUGAUGCUCUUUUCUUUAGAAUCAGUAGUGCUGCAAGAGGAAAGACUGCUUAGGAGAAAUGUUAAUAAGAAAACCCUUUAUUAUAUUAAAUGAAGAAGGAAAAUAAUUAGAAAUCAUAUAUGUGAAUUUUAUUUAAAUCUUUAACCCAAUUUCAGUAUUGUUUUCGAAGUGUGAUUUUUGCCAUUUAUAAUACAUACCUAAAUUCAACUGCUGACAUGGUAAGUUAUCUCUUUCACUGUGUUCUAUACCCAGAACACUCCUAGUGAUUGUGUUAGAUGUUAUAGGUGGUAUGAAUACUUUUGUGGGGGUUGGAUCUUCUUAAUUACCUUCCGUGAAAUUCUGUUAGUAGUUUUCUUAUAUGUGCACUCAGAACUUAAAUGGAAAAUUCUUUAUGCUCUUAAUUUCUUUUGCUUAAUUUGGUAAUCAGAGUGUUCACUUUUUGACCCAUUUAUAUACUUUUGAAAUAUGAAGAAAAAGCCCUCUCAUGUUUUCAUAUGAGCAGCCAGAUAGACAGCACUUUAAAAAUUAGCAUAUGUAUGUUUUGACUAUCUCACUUAAGACUGCCUGUCAGUUUGGCAGCUCUGAGCUUGUUAUUUCUGUGUCUUCUCUUUUUUCAUUUUCAUGUUUUGACAAAUAAGAUUGUACUUUUGACAAGUGAUUUAUACUUCAUCUAAGAAUUUCAAAGUGUUUUAAAUUUAUUUGUUAAACUAUCUAAAGAUCAUUUUAUCUACCCAUCUUUGGAUAAUACAAGAUUCUCAUCAAUGUAAAUGAAGAUAGAAAGUGAUACUAUUAGACUUCUUGCAGUAAAAGACAUUACUGGGCAAUAAUUAUUUUCAGAAUAAUUAUUGUUUACUUUUCAGAAGCUUAUAUUUCUUUCAGUUCAGUAUCUUUUGACUUACUCCUGUGUAUAAUACUGUCUAAAUGGGAAUGACCCUUCUUUUUGUAUUACUUGAGAGAGUAUAUCUUUCAAGAAUGAAGAUAUUUACAGGCAUCCCUUGAUAAGUGAAUAAAUGCCAUGCUGAACAUUUUAUUGCAAAAGGAAAUUCUAUGUAUUUAGUCUUAUAUAACCAACAUUAUAUGUAUUCAAUUUUUUAAUAAAUAUUUAAUGAGUACCUAAUAUACUGGGAAUUUUGUUCUUUUUUUUUUUUUGAGACAGAGUUUUGUAUUUGUUGCCCAGGUUGGAGUGCAAUGGUGCAAUCUUGGCUAACUGCAAACUCUGCUUCCCAGGUUCAAGUGAUUCUCCUGCCUCAGCCUCCCAGUAGCUGGGAUUACAGGCACCUGCCACUACACCCAGCUAAUUUUUUUGUAUUUUUAGUAGAGAUGGGGUUUUACCAUGUUGGCCAGGCUGGUCUUGAACUCCUGAUCUCAGGUGAUCUGCUUGCCUCAGCCUCCCAAAAUGCUGGGAUUACAGGGGUGAGAUUGGAUUUACAGUGGAUAACAAUACAGAUAGCACUACAUAGAGCUUAUAAGCUACUGGGUGCACAGAGGUUAAAUGAGUAAAUAAUGUAAUUUCAAAUUGUAAUAAGUGGUUUGAAGAAGAAAAACUAAAGUAAUAGGGUAUGUAAUUAUUUGUAGUUGGGGGGUAGGUUAAUUUUGGUUGGGGAUACCCUCUCUGGGAACUUGCUAUUUGAAAAGAAACUUGAAUGUGGAAAAGGAAAUACCUAUCCUGCAGGAAGAGUAUUCCAGGCAGAUGUAACAGCAAUUAACAAGGUCAUAAAGGAAGCAUAAGAAGGCAGGUAUAGCUGCAGCACAAUUAAGGGCAGUACAAUUAAGGGAAGGUAUGGUAAAAAAAAAAAAGAGAGUGAAAAGUAGAGGCUAGAUCAUGUAUGACCUUGUAAGCCACGUUAAAGCCUUUGGAUUUUAUUUUUUGUGCAAAGGGAAACCUUAAGCAGGUCUUAAACAGGGGCAAAUGUACAACCUAAUUUAUAGGAAGAUCAUCCUGGCUCCACCAAGAGCCUGCAUCACAAAAGGCAGAGUGGAAGAUAUUGUAGUAGUCCAGAUGAUGUUGAUGGCAUCUGUUGCUAAAGAGAAAGGGGUAGAGGUGUUGAUAAAGUGGCAGGAUUUGGAUUAGGUUUUGUAGGAAGAGAGCUGAGGACUUGCUAGUGGACUGGAUGUUGAGGCCAGGAAAGGAGAAGAAUCAAAGGGAACUAUGAAGUUUUGGCCUGAGUUGCCGGAUGAAUAGAGAUGCUAUUACUUGAGAUAAAAUAAAACUGAAGGAGGACAAGAGUCAUUGGCUGUGUGAGUCUGAGAUGUGUAUUAGACAUCUUAGCGGAAAUGUUGGGUAGGCAGUUACAAGUCUGGAGCUCAGUAGAGAGGUGGGUUUUUGAGGCAUAAAUCUGGGAGUCAUGAAUUAAGAGAUGGUAGGUAGAGGCUUGAGACUGGCUGAAUCUUUGAGGAGUAAUUAUAGACAGAAAAGAGGAUGGAAGACCUGUGCAUAUGUUCAUGCAAGAAAAAUUUGUAUUUUAAUAUAAGCAAAAUCAAAUGUCUCUUGCUAGUCAGAGUUCUGAGGUACAAGUAACAGAAAGCAACUGUGACUGUUUUUGUCGAAGGAAGACUUUAUUGAAAACAUAUUGGGUGGUUAAUAGAAUCAUUAAGGUGACUGGCAAAUCAGGUUAGAUAAUGGGCAGAAUCCAAGGGAAAACAGGUACCUGGAUAUCAUCCAUAACUAUAUACAGCAACUGUUAUAUCCUGACUACCGAACUUGAGCCAUCACUGUUGGAGCUGGAUACAGGUUACCCCCAUGAGAUCCUCUGGCACUUAUGACCCUAGAAACUGGAUGUUGCUGUGGCUACUUCCUGAGCAGUUUCUCUCUGCCACUAUUCCUUGGGUCACUUGCUUUACAUUCAAUGUUCUAGUAAAGAACUGAGCCUAGGUGUUGUGUCUUCAUCCUGACUCAGAUGGUAGGGGAAAGUAAUUAUCUGAAAUUUUUGGUUGCUUUCAUGAGAUAUUCUUUAUAUUCCACCAAGACUCAGAUAAUGGGUAAGUUCCCCAAAACAGAGGAUGGCAAUUCUGAUGCUAGGCAUUUUAACAACUGUAAAAAUGUACCUCCCUAACCACCACCUCAUUCCCCCACAAAAUGACUGUGGUUAUUCUCUAAUGCCAUGUCCAUGUUUUAGUUUUAUGAAUAUAAUACACUUGAUUGCUUAUGAAUUCAUUCAUUAGAGUGCCUCCAGAUGCACUUCAAGAGUAUUUUAUCCCACUGGUUGCGGUGCCUCAUGCCUGUAGUCUCAGCACUUUGGGAGGCCGAGGAGGGAGGAUCACCUAAGGUCAGGAGUUCGAGACCAGCCUGGCCAACAUGGUGAAACCCCUUCUCCACUAAAAAUACAAAAAUUAGCUGGGUGUGGUGGCAGGCGCCUGUAAUCUCAGCUACUCGGGAGGCUAAGGCAGGAGAAUUGCUUGAACCAGGAAGGCAGAAGUUGCAGUGGUCCAAGACUGUGUCACUGUACUCCGGCCUGGGUGACAGAGUGAACCUCCAUCUCAAAAAAACCAAAAAAUAAUAUUUUAUUCCUACUUCCUUUUCCCGUGAUCUGUUUCUUCCUCUAAGAUUAAGAAGAGACCCAUUUUUCCUAUGUCUCUUUCACCACAGCCAGAGAAAUACAGCCUCUGGUUAAAAACACACAAGUCAAUAAGCCUACAGUUCAAGCAUCUUUCUUUAAUUAAACCUACAUAUUAAAGAAAAAACCAGACAUACACACAGUCACUACCACUGCAUACUCAGGGUUUCUUUGGGAAAGUUAAUAAAUCUAAAGCUGUAUAUUCUGGCCCAAAUAUGUGACUACUGAAUCGAUUCCAGGUAAGUUUUAAUUAAGUAUGACAUACUGAAAUUUCCCCAGAUUAAUUAUUAAUUAUAUAAUAGCAAAAUUACACUUGCACUGUAGCUGUGGCUACCUGAUAGAGAAAAGAUUGUAGCCAAAGGUAUUACAAUCCAUUAAUUUGAUUUAUAUAAGACAAUUUAUGACAUAGUCAUAGUAUGGUUAUGGUGAGGACUAACUGCUUGCCAAAGAGAUAACAAGUAAGUAUGGUAAAUCCUCACUUAGCAUUGUUGAUAGGUUCUUGGAAACUGUGACUUUAAGUGAACUAAUGUAUAAUGAAACCGUUUUUUUUCUCAUUAACAUUAUAAAAAUGAUGUUGAAUAAAAGACAUUAUUUGAGGACCUGCUGUAUGUUGUUCUCUUUAAAGUUGCAGUUCCAAGAACCUAUGGAUAACAUUAAGGGAAGACUUACUGUAUUUUCAGGCUAACACUUAUGUUCUUUCAUAAGCAUCAUUGGAAAAUGAUUGCUGGACAUUUUCAUUGAGUGCUGGAUUUUGUUGUCUUCCCUCAAAGAGUGUUGAACCUUUCAAGGUUGGUUUGUAAGCUUUGUUAGAGUGAGUUAAGAGUACACUUUAGUCUGGGCUAGUUUACUCCUUCUGUGCAGACAUGACCUUUCUGAGGUCUCUACUGAAAGUCCUAGGUAUUUAAUAUAUCCCAUCACUCUGGCUGGUUGAACUUGGAAGUCUUGCAAUUCUGAUUGCAAGGCAGUUGGUCAGCUUAUGGCUUCCACUUUGCCUUGUGGAGUUUUACCAUAUGUUGGCCAAUUUAGUGUUCAGCCAAAACCUAAGAGGAUCCUGUGCUGAUUUCUGGAGCACUGGGUCUGUGUAGCUCCCUCUAAUUCUGUACUCUGAAUGUUCCAGCUACUUCGUCCUCCUUAAACUCUGAUCUCUGUUUUCUCAACUCAGCAAGAUCCUUUUGCUCUGUUUGGGAUCCCUUUCCUGCCCUGAAGUCUGGAAAGUGCCUCUAGGCAGAAAGCCAAGAGUGAUCAUAGGGCUCAUGUCAUUUGUUUUGCUUGCCUCAAGGUUCAUAGUACUGUGCUGCCUGUUGUGUGAAACACUUGGAAAGCAGUAUUUUUUCUUUAUUUUAUCCAGUUUUUUAGUUAUGUUAGGAGAGUAAGCCUAGUCCCAGUUGCUCUGUGGUAGACAGAAACAGAAGUCCCAUUAGAAAAAUGAUUAUACCACUGAAAUGCAUGAGCAUUAGUUCUGGUACUUUGCAACCCUUAUAAUUUGGAAAAAGUUCAUGGAAUGAUGAAGAAAGAGGAAAAAAAAUUCAGUGUUAGCAUAGUAAAAUAACAAGUAGAGUAAUAAUACUAAAUAUAUAGGAUUAUCAUAUGUAUAGGAUAUGUUAUGUGUGUUCUUUUGUGUGGAUAAUUACAUACAUAAUUUAAUCUCAAAAAUCAUAGGUAGGUGCUAUUAUUAUCUCCAUUUACAGAGUUAUAAAUUGAGGUACAGAAAAAUGAAGUAACACAAGAGCACACAGCUAGUAAAUGGUAGAUCUAGGGUUUGAUCCACCCUAGCCAAAUAAAAAUUGCUACCUAAGGAAACUGGGUAGGUCUCACAUUCCAUAUCUGAGCAGUGAAGUAGGUUGUAUUUAGAAGUAUGGUAUUGCUCAAGACUCAAUUAUAUGAUCUUUUUUUCUCCUUUGAAAAUUCUUCUUGCUCCAAAUUUCAUCACUGGCAGAAUUUUUUUAAACCUAGGGCUUUAUAUACAUCAUCAUUAUCAUGUGAAUGACCCCCAUCUCCUUAUAGCUCUACCUAUUUACUGAUACUCCAUAUCUAUAUCUACAUCAAUAUAUAUCCUUAACUGUAGGUCAUACCUCUGCCUACUUACUUCACAUCUCUGUGCCUCUCAGUACCUUAGAGCCUACAGGUCUUUUUUUUUUUUUUUUUUGAGAUGGAGUUUCGCUCUUGUUACCCAGGCUGGAGUGCAAUGGCGCGAUCUCGGCUCACCGCAACCUCCGCCUCCUGGCUUUAGGCAAUUCUCCUGCCUCAGACUCCUGAGUAGCUGGGAUUACAGGCACGCGCCACCGUGCCCGGCUAAUUUUUUGUACUUUUAGUAGAGACGGGGUUUCACCAUGUUGACCAGGAUGGUCUCGAUCUCUUGACCUCGUGAUCCACCUGCCUCAGCCUCCCAAAAUGCUGGGAUUACAGGUGUGAGCCACCGCGCCCGGCCUUGAUCCUACAAGUCUUAAACAGAAUUCAAUAUCCAACCUUUUUUCUGUGACCUACACUUCAGUUACUGAAGUUUUUCUUUUUCUAACUGACAGUGAAACAUUUGGGGAUCACCUUUAAAUCCUUCUUGGUUCCUUUCAUGAAACAGGCUCUUAGAACCUGUUUUACUUGAGAAAUGUCUCUCAAAAAGGUCCUUUUUUGUUUCUGCUGCCCUAAUCCAGGACCUCCUUAUUCCUUAUUGCUCUGUUGCAACAGAAAGUUAUUUGACCUUCUUGUCUUUAUUGUUUUCCUAUUCUUUCUAUCCUUCACUGUACUUGCAGAAUUAUCAGCAUAAAACUCAGAUAGAUUUGCUAAUACCUUAAUAAAAAUCAUUAAAAUCUUGUAGUGGCUCAUCAUUGUAUUCUUUUUUUUUUGAGGCGGAGUUUUGCUUUUGUUACCCAGGCUGGGGUGCAAUGGUGCGAUCUCGGCUCACCGCAACCUCCGCCUCCUGGGUUCAAGCAAUUCUUCUGCCUCAGCCUCCUGAGUAGCUGGGACUACAGGCACGCACCACAAUGCCCAGCUAAUUUUUUGUAUUUUUAGUAGAGAUGGGGUUUUACCAUGUUGACCAGGAUGGUCUUGAUCUCUUGACCUCGGGAUCCACCCGCCUCGGCCUCCCAAAGUGCUGGGAUUACAGGCUUGAGCCACCACGCCCGGUUUAUCAUUGUAUUCUAAGUCAGAAGUUAAAAGCAAGGCUUUGGAUCUGACUGACUUCAAUUUCCUUUCCUCUACUUUCUAGCCAUGAUACGUUGGGAAUUUACUUAAUUCUUUAGCCUUAGCUUCCUCUCCUAUAAAAUGGGCAUAAUAAUAGUUCCUCUUCAUAAGAAUGUUAGGAAGAUGUUAUUUCAAUGAAAUAAAAAAAUGUUAAAAUAUUUCAGUGCUUGGCAUGUACAUACUCAAUAAAUGAAAGCUGUUAUUGUAUUGUUAAGAGAAUAGUGUUCACAGCCUUCCAAAGGUCAUUAUAGCUUGCCUUGCAUUAUAGAUUGCAGAUCUAUUAGAGGCUUGCUAAUGUAGCUCAUACUUUCGUACCUCCAUGUUUUGGUUCAUGCUGUGUUCCCUGCUUGUUGAAAGAAUACCGUGCCACCUCUCCUGUGAAACCUUUCUCAGUUACCACAGUUAGACCUAAUUACUCUUUAGGGCUUACUUAGUCUUAAUGAGAGAAUAUGCCACUAGUUAUUCCCGUUCUUCUAGCACUUAGCUUGCCUAACAGUUGGGCUCUUAAGAGUCAGACAAAUGGCAAGAUCAGUCAGUGUUAGCUGCUAUUGUUAUUAUUAUUUUUAGUAGUUGUGUUAGUAGAGGUCUUCUCUUUUGACCUCUACCAGACUACUGCCUCCUCAAGGGCAAAAUCAUCUGAUUCAUUUUUGUUUUUUCUCACAGUGUCUACAACAGUCCUUUGUACAUAAUGAGUACUCAGUAA